rnacentral:rRNA from 1 species
UACGUAGGGGGCUAGCGUUGUCCGGAAUCAUUGGGCGUAAAGAGCGUGUAGGCGGCCCGGUAAGUCCGCUGUAAAAGUCAAAGGCUCAACCUUUGAAUGUCAGUGGAUACUGCCGGGCUAGAGUCCGGAAGAGGCGAGUGGAACUCCUGGUGUAGCGGUGGAAUGCGCAGAUAUCGGGAGGAACACCUAUGGCGAAGGCAGCUCGCUGGGACGUUACUGACGCUGAGGUGCGAAAGCGUGGGGAGCGAACAGG